rnacentral:lncRNA from 1 species
CAAACACAAGCUACAUGGUAAAUAAAUGCCACAAUUUAGUUAAGUUUACUUAGCGUAGCUGACAGUUGAAUAGGAAGCAUACAGCUACCUGCAGGUGUGUGUAUACCUGCAAAGGUAAUGAGCUUUUAUUUAGAGAAAUGCCCAUAAAAGCAUUUCAACCUUUACAAUUCAGCCAAUAAGUAUUCGCCUCGCUGCUGAGGUAAUUUGAGGGGAGGGGGAAAAAAAGCUUUCAAAUCCUUAGAGUAUAAAAUAGUGGAAGCUGAGUGCUCAAGAUAUUCCUGAACUUCUGCUUAAACACUUGCCAAUUUUCUUGCAUUUUUUUUUUCUUGGUUUUAAACUUUAAGGGAGAGGGGCCUUACCUAAUAAGCUUUAAAUGGCAGCAGUUCUUUGAUAAUUCUUAGGAGCUUUUCCAUCAAAUUUUCCAUUAUAUAAUUUGUAGUUGUUCAGCCAUAACGGCAAGUGAUACGGAUCUUUAUAAAACAGUUUCCUGUGAAUCAGGUUUGCAUUAUGAAAUAGUAGCUGGCUCUUUUUAAAUUCAGACAUGUUGUAUUUUUUUCUUCCUUAGAUGAACAUAGGACGUUAGUCUACCCCCAAAAAAUCUUUUUUCCUCACUUUCUUGACAGAGACACAAAAAUUGCAUCCAAACAAAUUGGUUCUUGCAAAUGAACUGCUAUUUACCUAUUGAACAGAUAAGCUUGAGUAGAAAAUACAGCUGCAGCCCCAGGACACCUAUGCACUCUUUGGUGAAGACCUUUCCAAGGAACGAUAGGAUAGUUAAUUCUCAGCAGCAUUGAUUCUUCAAACAGAUUCUUUCAAGUGAUGCUGGGAGAGUACAGACUAGUGUUGUAUCUGAGUAGGGUGGAAAAGAGAGGAUAACCUGAAAGAAAAAUGGAAAAUGCUCGAGACUGUAGCAAAGGAAGAAUGAAGACAGGAAGGAAGACAGGAAGAAUGAAAGGGUUCAAGAGUGCUCUUGAAGGAAAACUUAACAAGUUGCUCAAACACCUGCUUGCCAUGAGGCAAACACUGAGCUGAAUAUUUGCCCCAGGACAGGAGUCCUGGGAGAGAGCUUACCACAUCCUCCCAGCAGCGGAUAAAUCAUGUGACUAGAUGUCAUCAAUCUCUGGAGGAAUGCAAUAGUGAGUUGCUUAUUUUGACACUUCUUGUGCCAUCUGUGCCGUGGGUGAGUUACAAUGCAAGGCUCUGUAUUUGGAAUUUCAGCGAUUAACAAAAGUGAAUUUAGAAAAGCUU